CAGUCGAACGAACCAUCCUGAUGAUUGAAGCUUGCUUCAUGAUUCAGACCUUGGUGAGUGGCGGACGGGUGAGUAACACGUGGGUAACCUGCCCAGAAGUGGGGGAUAACAUUUGGAAACAAGUGCUAAUACCGCAUAACAACUUAGAUCACAUGAUCUUUGUUUAAAAGAUGGUUUUGCUAUCUCUUCUGGAUGGACCCGCGGCGUAUUAGCUAGUUGGUGAGGUAAUAGCUCACCAAGGCGAUGAUACGUAGCCGACCUGAGAGGGUAAUCGGCCACAUUGGGACUGAGACACGGCCCAAACUCCUACGGGAGGCAGCAGUAGGGAAUCUUCCACAAUGGACGAAAGUCUGAUGGAGCAAUGCCGCGUGAGUGAAGAAGGUUUUCGGAUCGUAAAACUCUGUUGUUGAAGAAGAAUAUAUGUGAGAGUAACUGUUCACGUACUGACGGUAUUCAACCAGAAAGCCACGGCUAACUACGUGCCAGCAGCCGCGGUAAUACGUAGGUGGCAAGCGUUGUCCGGAUUUAUUGGGCGUAAAGAGAAUGUAGGCGGUUUAUUAAGUUUGAAGUGAAAGCCCUCGGCUCAACCGAGGAAGUGCUUCGAAAACUGG
rnacentral:rRNA from 2 species